GAUGAAGAACGUAGCGAAAUGCGAUAAGUAAUGUGAAUUGCAGAAUUCAGUGAAUCAUCGAAUCUUUGAACGCACCUUGCGCUCUUUGGUAUUCCGAAGAGCAUGCCUGUUUGAGUGUCAUGAAAAUAUCAACCUUGACUUGGGUUUUGUGCUCUAGCCUCGGCUUGGAAUUGGGUGCUUGCCGCUUUUACGAGCGGCUCACCUUAAAUGUAUUAGCUGGAUCUGUCUUUGAGACUUGGUUUGACUUGGCGUAAUAAGUAUUUCGCUAAGGACAUUCUUCGGAGUGGCCUCGUUUCUAGGACGCUUGUCCGCUUUCCAAUACAAGUUCCACCUCGUGGACAUGACUUUUUAUUAUCUGGCCUCAAAUCAGGUAGGACUACCCGCUGAACUUAAGCAUAUCAAUAAGCGGAGGA
rnacentral:misc_RNA from 1 species